UCCUAAUUAAAAUACAUCUUCCUUCAUUCAAUCUAUUCUUCAAUCCCCGACCUAAUCUUCAAUUUCUCUCUUCCGCCAAUGUUCGCCGCCGUCUUCUCUCUUCUGCCUAAUCUUCGUCACCGUCCUAUCUCUUUACAUCCUUCUUCUUCUCCACUCUACUCUUCAAGAACUAUCUAAUCAGCUCUAAAUGUAAAUCCCCUCUCUUCAACUUCAUCUUCUUCAGAGCUCCGUCCAAUGCCUCUGAAACGUCUACAUUCCGGUUUCUCUUAGCGGGUCUAAAAAGAUUCAAGUACUUUCUCUUUGUGCUGUCUGAGUCAGAGUUGGAGACUGGAGCCGACAAGACUUCUUUCCUUCCAUUGAUGGACGGAGACACCGCCAUUGCUUACCAUCGGAUCUUUUACAGUAGAGAUGGUCCGGCUGUAAGAGAUGAAGUAAUAGUUGAUCUUGUUGCUCAAUUUCGUUCUAACCAGAAGAAGUUGAUUCAAAUGUUAACCACAAUCGGGGAUGAAGAACUUCUUAGUUAGGGCCUUGAAUUGAAUGAUAGCUUGCAUACAAUACUGGCAAAACACGAUGCUAUAGCUUAUGGUUCUCCUUUGCCUACUCAAUCAAUCCAGACUUUGAGUCCAAAACCAGUUAAUACACAGGAUUCCAUUCCCAUGAGAAAUGAAGUUGGAGAACCUAGCCAAGCAUCUCAUUAAAAUGCCUCUACACCUCAUGUAACUGUGAGUGGGAGCAAUCUUGAAGAAGAAGAAGAAGACGAGGAAGAUAAUUUUGCACAGCUUGCUCGAAGGUACUCAAAGACACCGAAGGAGACAAUUAGUGGAAAUAGUUCGUCAACAUUACCUGAAAACUCAAUCCCUGUUCCAAACAAUGCAUUAGCCGUAAUUAAUCCACCCUUCCCUGUCAAAACUACAAACGAACAAGAUAUCAUUGACUUUGAGUAUUACCUUAUCUACUCCAAUAUCCCCUCCUGCUCAAACCCCUCUCCAACCUACAUCUUCAUCUCAAAACGUACAUCAACAACAACAAUCGUCAUUUCUUUCAAUGACACAAGAUCCCAAUAAUGCGUUCCAGGCAUAUCCACCUGUAAACCGAGAUCAACCCCCUUCCUUAAAUAGUUAUGUGGUUCAUUGGGCACAACAACAGCCCAGCCCCAGUUCCGACCUCAGCCUCAACCUCAAUUCCAGUCUCGACCCCAAAUCCAACCACCUCAGGGAUAUAUUUCUCCUUCAUAGGCAUCAACUCCUGGUUACUUAAACAACAGUCAAAAUAACCAACCCAUGUCAAAUUUAUUUUCAUGUAAAUCAAUAAGACCUAUGAACCCAACUGACCGAGCAAUAAGUAUCAUUUUCGUUAUGCAGCACUAGUACUGUUCAAAUUCAAUAAAACAUUAUGGUCAUAUCUAGUUAUGAUAUGUAAUAUAUAUAACUAGGGUUUAUUGAAGUA